UGAUUUUAACAGCCCGUAUGAGGUAACCU
rnacentral:piRNA from 1 species